rnacentral:rRNA from 1 species
GAUGAACGCUGGCGGCGUGCCUAAUACAUGCAAGUCGAGCGAAUGGAUUAAGAGCUUGCUCUUAUGAAGUUAGCGGCGGACGGGUGAGUAACACGUGGGUAACCUGCCCAUAAGACUGGGAUAACUCCGGGAAACCGGGGCUAAUACCGGAUAACAUUUUGAACCGCAUGGUUCGAAAUUGAAAGGCGGCUUCGGCUGUCACUUAUGGAUGGACCCGCGUCGCAUUAGCUAGUUGGUGAGGUAACGGCUCACCAAGGCAACGAUGCGUAGCCGACCUGAGAGGGUGAUCGGCCACACUGGGACUGAAACACGGCCCAGACUCCUCCGGGAGGCAGCAGUAGGGAAUCUUCCGCAAUGGACGAAAGUCUGACGGAGCAACGGCGCGUGAGUGAUGAAGGCUUUCGGGUCGUAAAACUCUGUUGUUAGGGAAGAACAAGUGCUAGUUGAUUAAGCUGGCACCUUGACGGUACCUAACCAGAAAGCCACGGCUAACUACGUGCCAGCCGCCGCCGUAA